rnacentral:rRNA from 1 species
UACAGAGGUGGCAAGCGUUGUUCGGAAUUACUGGGCGUAAAGAGCGCGCAGGCGGUCGUUCAAGUCGCGUGUGAAAGCCCCCGGCUCAACUGGGGAGGGUCACGCGAUACUGAUCGACUGGAAGGCAGGAGAGGGUAGUGGAAUUCCACGUGUAGCGGUGAAAUGCGUAGAGAUGUGGAGGAACACCAGUGGCGAAGGCGACUCUUUGGCCUGUAACUGACGCUGAGGCGCGAAAGCGUGGGGAGCAAACAGG